rnacentral:rRNA from 1 species
CCUACGGGUGGCAGCAGUGAGGAAUAUUGGUCAAUGGGCGCGAGCCUGAACCAGCCAAGUCGCGUGAGGGGUGACGGUCCUACGGAUUGUAACCCUCUUUUUCCGGGGCGCAAGCGUUCGUUCGUGAACGCGCGUCGAGAGUACCCGGAGAAAAAGCAUCGGCAAACUCCGUGCCAGCAGCCGCGGUAAUACGGGGUGUGCGAGGGUUAUCCGGAUUUAUUGGGGUUAAAGGGUGCGUGGGCGGGAAGCCAAGUCAGCGGUAAAAAUGCGGUGCUCAACGCCGUCGAGCCGUUGUAACUGGCGUUCUUGAGUGGGCGAGAGGUAUGCGGAAUGCGGGGUGUAGCGGUGAAAUGCAUAGAUAUAACGCAGAACACCGAUUGCGAAGGCAGAAUACCGGCGCCCUACUGACGCUGAGGCACGAAAGCGUGGGUAUCGAACAGGAUUAGAUACCCCUGUAGUC